UACAGAGGUCUCAAGCGUUUGUUCGGAUUCAUUGGGCGUAAAGGGUGCGUAGGCGGCGCGGUAAGUCGGGUGUGAAAUCUCGGAGCUUAACUCCGAAACUGCAUUCGAUACUGCCGUGCUUGAGGACUGGAGAGGAGACUGGAAUUUACGGUGUAGCGGUGAAAUGCGUAGAUAUCGUAAGGAAGACCAGUGGCGAAGGCGGGUCUCUGGACAGUUCCUGACGCUGAGGCACGAAGGUCAGGGGAGCAAACGGGAUUAGAACGUACCGUGUCA
rnacentral:rRNA from 1 species